AACGAACGCUGGCGGCAUGCCUAACACAUGCAAGUCGAACGAGACCUUCGGGUCUAGUGGCGCACGGGUGCGUAACGCGUGGGAACCUGCCUUUAGGUUCGGAAUAACUCAGAGAAAUUUGAGCUAAUACCGGAUAAUGUCUUCGGACCAAAGAUUUAUCGCCUUUAGAUGGGCCCGCGUUGGAUUAGCUAGUUGGUGGGGUAAAGGCCUACCAAGGCGACGAUCCAUAGCUGGUCUGAGAGGAUGAUCAGCCACACUGGGACUGAGACACGGCCCAGACUCCUACGGGAGGCAGCAGUGAGGAAUAUUGGACAAUGGGCGCAAGCCUGAUCCAGCCAUGCCGCGUGCAGGAUGACGGGUCCUAUGGAUUGUAAACUGCUUUUGUACAGGAAGAAACACU
rnacentral:rRNA from 1 species